rnacentral:tRNA from 1 species
GCCGCUGUAGCUCAGUGGUAGAGCGCACCCUUGGUAAGGGUGAGGCCGUGGGUUCAAUCCCCACUAGCGGCU